AAAGAUUAAUAAAUUUAGGCUUCUAACCUAAAAAUAAUGAUUUUUCAUUUAAUCUUU
rnacentral:tRNA from 1 species